GUGGAUUAGAUACCCUGGUAGUCCACGCCCUAAACGAUGCGAACUAGGUGUUGGGGAAGGAGACUUUCUUAGUACCGCAGCUAACGCGUGAAGUUCGCCGCCUGGGGAGUACGGUCGCAAGAUUAAAACUCAAAGGAAUUGACGGGGACCCGCACAAGCGGUGGAUGAUGUGGAUUAAUUCGAUGCAACGCGAAAAACCUUACCUACCCUUGACAUGCCAGGAAUCCUGAAGAGAUUUGGGAGUGCUCGAAAGAGAGCCUGGACACAGGUGCUGCACGGUUGUCGUCAGCU
rnacentral:rRNA from 1 species